AGUGGCGAUCAUACCAGCACUAAAGCAUGGAAUCCCAUUAGAACUCCAAAGUUAAGCGUGCUUGGGCAAGAGUAGUACUAGGAUGGCUGACCUCCUGGGAAGUCCUCGUGUUGCAUUUC
rfam:Triticum aestivum genome assembly, contig: Triticum_aestivum_CS42_TGACv1_scaffold_050051_1BS